UUACAGCCAUAUCACGUUGAAACUACCAGUUCCCAUAUGAUCACCGAAGUUAAGUAAUGUCGAGCCUAGUCAGUACCUAGAUGGGUGUACACUUCGGAAUACCAUAUGCUGUAAG